rnacentral:rRNA from 1 species
GACGAACGCUGGCGGCGUGCUUAACACAUGCAAGUCGAACGGAAAGGCCCUGCUUUUGUGGGGUGCUCGAGUGGCGAACGGGUGAGUAACACGUGAGUAACCUGCCCUUGACUUUGGGAUAACUUCAGGAAACUGGGGCUAAUACCGGAUAGGAGCUCCUGCUGCAUGGUGGGGGUUGGAAAGUUUCGGCGGUUGGGGAUGGACUCGCGGCUUAUCAGCUUGUUGGUGGGGUAGUGGCUUACCAAGGCUUUGACGGGUAGCCGGCCUGAGAGGGUGACCGGCCACAUGGGGACUGAGAUACGGCCCAGACUCCUACGGGAGGCAGCAGUGGGGAAUAGUGCACAAUGGGCGGAAGCAUGAUGCAGCAACGCCGCGUGCGGGAUGACGGCCUUCGGGUUGUAAACCGCUUUCGCCUGUGACGAAGCGUGAGUGACGGUAAUGGGUAAAGAAGCACCGGCUAACUACG